AGAAGAAGGAGUCAGUGCUGUGAGGAGCUGCUUAUGAGAUAUCAUUGAGAAGAUAUGUGUGCACUACCCAGUGAAACACAUCCCAGGAUGUCCUGGGAGGCACUGGAGGAGGAGUUCAGGUUGAAAUUUUACCUGUUUCCCAGGAGAACUAGACAAUUUCUGACUUGUCAUCAAUUUUUAAGAGUUCACUUGGAAGAAUAGAGUUUAUAAUGACAUUAUAAACAGUUACUUAAUGACAGAUUCCAUAAAGAAUGGGUAUUGAAAGUUGGAUGACAAACUGUUGAGACCAAGCUCUAAUCAAUACGCACACAGUGAGUUUGAGGACGUGACUUACAUGGCUGAGCACCUGGAGAUUACAACCCCGUGGAUUGUGAUGUGCUGAUCUCUGAUCACUGCCUUUAAAAAACUUGGAAUCAAGUCAUGACAAAUCCUCAGGGCUAAAGUUCCCAAGGAGCCCAUGAAAGAAUCAAUGCAGCUUCAUGGGCAGAGUUCACUUUGCUCUGGCUGUGCUGCCAGUGCUGUGCAAAGCAUCCACUGCAUGGCCUUCAGCAGCUGCAAAGAUCACCUUCACUCCAAAAAUCCCUCUUGACUUAUAGAUGUAAGGUUAUAGGUCAAAAAUUAUUAUGGUCAGACUCUUCCAUGUAUGACUGGUCUGAAAGUGCAGCCUGGGCUGCAAAACUGAGUGGCUGGGGACGCAAAUGAAACAGUAAUUCUUAUGCAAGCAGUAUUCUGGACAAAAAGUAUUUGUAUUGACCAGUUUCAAGAAGGUCUGUCAGCACUCUGGUUUUAAUUUCUUUUCAUGAAAUGUGUAUUUAAACUCUUUGCUGCGCUGGCAUGCCAACAACAAAAUGUUUUCUUGGAAUUGAAAACAAAGGGGGCCAAAAUUCUCUAGGAAA